GGAUGAGCAGUGUGUUGUGUCGAUGUCGUUCAUGUUUGAUGCUGGAGAAUAAUGUUUAGGUGUUCUCUGGGCCCAGACCUUGGUGGCAAGGCUCACCGUGUUCUGCUCAUGCCCUCAGCAAUACUUCUGCAGAGAGGAGGGAAAAAAAAAA